ACAGCUGCCAGAUGAAGCUGCCAGGAAUCAGCUGCCAGGACCAGGACGUGGUGGAAGCAACAGCGUGACAGGAUGUGCCAGCAGUGCAAGUGGGUGAUUAACAUCAUCCGCUGGAUCUGGAACAUUGUCAAGAGCAUCAUUGGCAGAGGCCGGUCCAAGCCCAACGAGAGGACCCCAUUGGUUCCGGAAAAGGAAGAAUGACGGCCUGGCCCCACCCCCAGCACCAUGUGAGGCCAGAUCAAGCCCAGCUCUCCCCUCCCCCAUCUUAAAGCAACGCCAGGAAUAAAGCUUGGCUCUUGUUUUCUAUA